GUCAGAGCAGGAGCUACAUAUGCUGGAUCCAGCAUGGGAUGGGUAGGGAUGUGGAAUCAAUCUGGUCCAUGGGACCGGCCCAGUGCCAUUCAACCAACCCUGCACCACUUAGCCAUCCCAUGGGGCCAGAUGAUUUUGACAUCACUGAUUUAAGCAAUUAGGUAAAGAAUUACUGCCAGUUGUCCAACAUACAAAAACGUUUAGAACAUUUAUGUUAAAUCCAAGCAUUGGCACUUUUAGUACAUUCUAUUUGUUCAAUACUGACAAGAUAACAAAGACACUCAGUUUUGUUACUAGGGAUGGGUAUGCCUUUGUCAGCUGCUAACACAUUAGAAGGCAGGGAGUAACACCUGCAGUCACAUGAAUAAACUAGUGUAAAGUUUAGCCAUGGCAUUCUUCCACGCAAGGAAGUUUAACUGAAAUUGCUACUAAAACCAGUCUUAAUCCGGCACAACAUCCCAUGAGCAUUCUUGUUGUUCUUAUUAUUGUUCUUGGUUUAUUUCGGUUUAGUUUCAAUCUGUUCCUACUCUGUGGCCUGACCAAACAACACAGAACAGCCCACCAGCCCCUUUUUUUAAAUAGUUUGAAUAAAUCAGCUUAAAUUGAACUCUUUCAAUGCACAACUUUCUAAUGAGACUUACGUCUCACUAAGAAAAAAGAACCAUAUUCAUGCCUAAAGCAACUCAACAGAAUUUCUUCCAUUACACUAAGUCAAUGGAUUUAAACACUAAUGAAUGCCUCUCAACUUCCACAUGUAGCAUUGUUUCCCAGAUAGAAUUUAAAGUUAGGUCACAAGCACCUUUUUCUGGGUAACUGUUAAAAGACUUUUCAUACAGGAUACAUUUUCCAAAAUAUUUUGAGGCCAUUUCUAUGGCAAUUAAGGAAGUAGCCAAGCUAAAUAGAUUAUUCAGUGUUUAUUGCCAACUGAUUUAUGAAGGUCCACUUUCUUACUAGCAAGCAAAAAACUACAGCUCUAAUGUAGUAUUUUGAUGUUUUUGUCUGCUUAACAACUACAUGCUUUCUUAUUUAUUUAUUGCUGACCUUUCUUCCUUUGAAACCAGAAGAGGAACAAAAGUGGCAACUAGAUUGUUCAGAGGGCCCAGAUCCCUCUGUGGUGCUUAUAGUCGUUAUAGAAAUUCAGAUAACAAAUACUGUACAUAAUAGACAGUACUAAUCUCACUGGUGCCUCUUGAAACCUUACAAUUCCGCACAGGGCUGCACACUAACAUUUAUCUUCUAGAAACUCUAAGAAAGGUAAAGAAGUUGAAACCAUCAGUGAACACAACCUUCCCUUUUGGCUAAACAUGGUAGAGAGCAGGCCAAUUUCCCCUCAAACCUACAAAAGAUAGACAGGUCUUUGGAAUUCAAGGUGGUUAUUUCAGUCAUUGCCUUUGUGUAAUAAUAUAAAUCUCCCCAUUGAAGUCGUCUAUAUCUGUGUCUCACUUUGCUUUAGAAAAGAUCAGAUAUGAGGAUCCAGGUAUUCUACCAGUGGAUAUUUAGCUUUCCUGAUGUGUUGUCUCUUUGAGUAAUGUUUAGGUCUAACAAUCUCAAGAGUUGAACUGAAGAAGAAACUUUGUCUAUACAAGAUUCCACUUUUUGAGGCUUUCUGGUAUGAAAUUGAAGGUGCUAUCCAAUAAUAUGUGUUCACUGACAUGGUUAAAACAGAAAACAUCCAAAGAAAACAUUUUGAACUCUUUUCUUUUCCUUUCUUUCAUGCACAAUGAUCUGUGUCAGUCAGACAAGCUUUAAUUUACCUGAGAAAACACUGAGCCCUGCAGCAAAAUCUAAUUUUCCAAGAGUAGGAAGGGUUACCAUUAUUAUUAAAGGCUCUGAAA